UACGGGGGGAGCAAGCGUUGUUCGGAUUUACUGGGCGUAAAGGGCGCGUAGGCGGCCACCGCAAGUCAGUUGUGAAAUCUCUGGGCUUAACCCAGAAAGGUCAACUGAUACUGCGGGGCUAGAGUGCAGAAGGGGCAACUGGAAUUCUCGGUGUAGCGGUGAAAUGCGUAGAUAUCGAGAGGAACACCUGCGGCGAAGGCGGGUUGCUGGGCUGACACUGACGCUGAAACGCGAAAGCUAGGGGAGCGAACGGG
rnacentral:rRNA from 1 species